rnacentral:rRNA from 1 species
UGCAAGUCGAGCGACAGAUAAGGAGCUUGCUCCUUUGACGUUAGCGGCGGACGGGUGAGUAACACGUGGGUAACCUACCUAUAAGACUGGAAUAACUCCGGGAAACCGGGGCUAAUGCCGGAUAACAUAUAGAACCGCAUGGUUCUAUAGUGAAAGAUGGUUUUGCUAUCACUUAUAGAUGGACCCGCGCCGUAUUAGCUAGUUGGUAAGGUAAUGGCUUACCAAGGCGACGAUACGUAGCCGACCUGAGAGGGUGAUCGGCCACACUGGAACUGAUACACGGUCCAGACUCCUACGGGAGGCAGCAGUAGGGAAUCUUCCGCAAUGGGCGAAAGCCUGACGGAGCAACGCCGCGUGAGUGAUGAAGGGUUUCGGCUCGUAAAACUCUGUUAUUAGGGAAGAACAUAUGUGUAAGUAACUGUGCACAUCUUGACGGUACCUAAUCAUAUAGCCACGGCUAACUACGUGCCAGCAGCCGCGGUAAUACGUAGGUGGCAAGCGUUAUCCGGAAUUAUUGGGCGUAAAGCGCGCGUAGGCGGUUUCUUAAGUCUGAUGUGAAAGCCCACGGCUCACCCCGUGCACGGUCAUUGGAGACUGGUAAACUUGAGUGCACAAUAGGAGGGUGAAUUCCAUGUGUAGCGGUGAAAUGCGCAGAGAUAUGGAGGAACACCAGGGGUCUAAUGCCGACUUUUCUGGUCCC